CAUCCUCCAAUGCAGGGAAGGAUGAGAAGCUUCGACUAAGGUUCGAUUCGAGCGUAGCGAGAAAGCGUUGCCGCAGGCAACGACCCGAAGGGUGAGGAGCAAAGCGACGAAUUAUCCUUCCCCCACUACCA
rnacentral:sRNA from 1 species